GUCUAACUGACGAGUCCCUAAGAGAACGAAACGUACGUCCCAGAU
rfam:Schistosoma rodhaini strain Burundi genome assembly, scaffold: SROB_scaffold0003347